ACUUUAUCAUCCAAUCAGGAUUAAAACCCAAACCAAUCAUGACUCUCUCGCGCGCGUUUUCCCGCUCUUCGCGUCAGCUGCACGCAUUCACUUCGAGUUUUGAUUGGUUCACUGGAUUGUGUAUAUCCUUUCUGAUUAACCAGAGUGAUUACUUUGGAUUUGGUUUCACGAUACUCGUUUGAAAACUGCUCUAGCUGUACAGUGUUAACAAGAAAUGAACCGAAAAAAUGAAUGUGCUAAGUUUGAUCGCAGUUCGCGUCAGUAAUAUGUUUUUGUUUUCUUUAUAUAAUUUUCUUUUUUUUUUUUUUAGGCCAAAGCUGAAUUCCCCGUUAAUGUCAUCCAGAGAUGAACAGUGUUUGCGUCCACCCUCACCAAAACGAGGCAGAUGACAGAGAUUAAGGUUAAUCCUCAUUGGAAUGAAGAACAAGCAUGGAUCUUCAGGAACAAAUAUUUUUGCCGGCGUAAUGAAUUUGAAUGCAUUUCGAAAUGUUCGAAAUGUUUGAAAUGUUGUGACAUAAGCAAACACAUGCGUUAAAAACACGUGGAUAUUGAGUACGAUUAAAAUUAUUGUAACAUGCUUGAAA